rnacentral:rRNA from 1 species
GACGAACGCUGGCGGCGUGCUUAACACAUGCAAGUCGAACGGUAAGGCCCUUCGGGGUACACGAGUGGCGAACGGGUGAGUAACACGUGGGUGAUCUGCCCUGCACUUCGGGAUAAGCCUGGGAAACUGGGUCUAAUACCGGAUAGGACCACUGCCUGCAUGGGUGGUGGUGGAAAGCUUUUGCGGUGUGGGAUGGGCCGGCGGCCUAUCAGCUUGUUGGUGGGGUGAUGGCCUACCAAGGCGACGACGGGUAGCCGGCCUGAGAGGGUGACCGGCCACACUGGGACUGAGAUACGGCCCAGACUCCUACGGAGGCAGCAGUGGGGAAUAUUGCACAAUGGGCGCAAGCCUGAUGCAGCGACGCCGCGUGAGGGAUGACGGCCUUCGGGUUGUAAACCUCUUUCAGCACCGACGAAGCGCAAGUGACGGUAGGUGCAGAAGAAGGACCGGCCAACUACGUGCCAGCAGCCGCCGCCG